ACGGGUGAGUAAUACAUCGGAACGUGCCCUGUAGUGGGGGAUAACUAGUCGAAAGAUUAGCUAAUACCGCAUACGACCUGAGGGUGAAAGUGGGGGACCGCAAGGCCUCAUGCUAUAGGAGCGGCCGAUGUCUGAUUAGCUAGUUGGUGUGGUAAAGGCUCACCAAGGCGACGAUCAGUAGCUGGUCUGAGAGGACGAUCAGCCACACUGGGACUGAGACACGGCCCAGACUCCUACGGGAGGCAGCAGUGGGGAAUUUUGGACAAUGGGGGCAACCCUGAUCCAGCAAUGCCGCGUGUGUGAAGAAGGCCUUCGGGUUGUAAAGCACUUUUGUCCGGAAAGAAAUCGCACUUACUAAUAUUGGGUGUGGAUGACGGUACCGGAAGAAUAAGGACCGGCUAACUACGUGCCAGCAGCCGCGGUAAUACGUAGGGUCCAAGCGUUAAUCGGAAUUACUGGGCGUAAAGCGUGCGCAGGCGGUUGUGCAAGACCGAUGUGAAAUCCCCGGGCUUAACCUGGGAAUUGCAUUGGUGACUGCACGGCUAGAGUGUGUCAGAGGGGGGUAGAAUUCCACGU
rnacentral:rRNA from 1 species